UAGGGAAUAUUGGACAAUGGGCGCAAGCCUGAUCCAGCCAUGCCGCGUGAGUGAUGAAGGCCCUAGGGUUGUAAAGCUCUUUUGUGCGGGAAGAUAAUGACUGUACCGCAAGAAUAAGCCCCGGCUAACUUCGUGCCAGCAGCCGCGGUAAUACGAAGGGGGCUAGCGUUGCUCGGAAUCACUGGGCGUAAAGGGUGCGUAGGCGGGUCUUUAAGUCAGGGGUGAAAUCCUGGAGCUCAACUCCAGAACUGCCUUUGAUACUGAGGAUCUUGAGUUCGGGAGAGGUGAGUGGAACUGCGAGUGUAGAGGUGAAAUUCGUAGAUAUUCGCAAGAACACCAGUGGCGAAGGCGGCUCACUGGCCCGAUACUGACGCUGAGGCACGAAAGCGUGGGGAGCAAACA
rnacentral:rRNA from 1 species